rnacentral:rRNA from 1 species
AAAAACAUGUCCUUUUGUUUAUGAUUUAAGGUCUGACCUGCCCAAUGAUUAUUUAAAUGGCCGCAGUAUUUUGACUGUGCAAAGGUAGCAUAAUCAUUAGUUUUUUAAAUGGAAGCUGGUAUGAAUGGUUUGAUGAGAAAAUAACUGUCUCAGCAUAAUUGAUUUUGAAUUUUAAUUUUAAGUUAAAAAGCUUAAAUGUUAUAGAAAGACGAGAAGACCCUAUAGAGUUUUAUUUUUUACUUAAUAUGUUUUUUUUGGGUUUUAAUAUUAUUUAUUGUUUAAGAAAUUUUGUUGGGGUGAUAUAAAAAUUAAAUUAACUUUUUAUUUAUUUGUACAUUUAUUUAUGAGUUUUUGAUCCUUUAUUUUAGAUUAGAAGAUUAAAUUACCUUAGGGAUAACAGCGUAAUUUUUUUGGAGAGUUCUUAUCGAUAAGAAAGUUUGCGACCUCGAUGU